rnacentral:rRNA from 1 species
ACCCGCUGAACUUAAGCAUAUCAAUAAGCGGAGGAAAAGAAACUAACAAGGAUUCCCCUAGUAACGGCGAGUGAAGCGGGAACAGCUCAAAUUUGAAAUCUCGCAGGUUUUCCUGUGCGAAUUGUAGUUUAGAGAAACGUUUUCGGGAGUGGCAUGGGCAUAAGUCCUUUGGAAUGAGGCAUCAUAGAGGGUGAGAAUCCCGUCUUUGGUCCGAUGUCCACUCCUGUGUGAUACGUUUUCCACGAGUCGGUUUGUUUGGGAAUGCAGACCAAAAUGGGUGGUAAAUACCAUCUAAAGCUAAAUAUUGGCGAGAGACCGAUAGCGAACAAGUACCGUGAGGGAAAGAUGAAAAGAACUUUGAAAAGAGAGUUAAAUAGUACGUGAAAUUGCCAAAAGGGAAACGCUUGGAACCAGUAUUGCCUGCGAGUAAUCAGCGGUGCCUCAAGCACCGUGCACUUGCUCGUCGGCGGGUCAACAUCAGUUUGACUUGGGGUACAAAGCCGGAGGAAGGUAGCCCGGGGUUCGCUCUGGGUGUUAUAGCCUCCGGUCAUGCCUUGGGUUGGACUGAGGAAUGCAGCGUUCUUUGGGUAACUAGUCGCCUACCGAACUUGCCUCGUAGACAGCAUGCUGACUGCGUUGCGAUGUAGGUAGCUCGGCUGGGGUUCCACACCAACGCUUGGGAUGUUGACGAAAUGGUUCCAAACGACCCGUCUUGAAACACGG